CCUGUCAGAGGUGCAGGAAGCCAGCUAUUAACAGGAGACAAAAACGUUCUUAGGUGUCCCGCUGUCCAUGUGGAUUGAGCCCUGCUGAGCCCAGGUUCCUCUGGUGGUGAAUCUCUUCCGCUGAGUGGAGAGAGGCAGGGG
rnacentral:lncRNA from 1 species